rnacentral:rRNA from 1 species
GAUGAACGCUGGCGGCGUGCCUAAUACAUGCAAGUCGAGCGAACAGACGAGGAGCUUGCUCCUCUGACGUUAGCGGCGGACGGGUGAGUAACACGUGGAUAACCUACCUAUAAGACUGGGAUAACUUCGGGAAACCGGAGCUAAUACCGGAUAAUAUAUUGAACCGCAUGGUUCAAUAGUGAAAGACGGUUUUGCUGUCACUUAUAGAUGGAUCCGCGCCGCAUUAGCUAGUUGGUAAGGUAACGGCUUACCAAGGCAACGAUGCGUAGCCGACCUGAGAGGGUGAGCGGCCACACUGGAACUGAGACACGGUCCAGACUCCUACGGGAGGCAGCAGUAGGGAAUCCUCCGCAAUGGGCGAAAGCCUGACGGAGCAACGCCGCGUGAGUGAUGAAGGUCUUCGGAUCGUAAAACUCUGUUAUUAGGGAAGAACAAAUGUGUAAGUAACUAUGCACGUCUUGACGGUACCUAAUCAGAAAGCCACGGCUAACUACGUG